GUAGUGAUGCUGAAAUAGGUAUAGUAUCCAGUAUUGGGAACAGUAAUGUUGACUGAGAUAGGUGUACUAUCCAGACUGGGAACAGAAAUGAUGAUGACUAGUAUGGGUACACUGUUAGUGUACUGCUUGGUAUUUUUUAAUGUAUUUUAGAAUACUAAUGUAUGAAGUGGCUCCAGGAAAUUACAAUUGUCUGUAGAUACUCCAGCAUAGCACACAGUUAUCUGUAAAGUAAAUUGUACCAAGAU